rnacentral:rRNA from 1 species
UGGGGAAUAUUGCGCAAUGGGGGAAACCCUGACGCAGCGACGCCGCGUGUGGGAUGAAGGUCUUCGGAUUGUAAACCACUGUCGCGAGGGACGAAGCUCUGACGGUACCUCGAAAGGAAGCACCGGCUAACUCUGUGCCAGCAGCCGCGGUAAUACAGAGGGUGCGAGCGUUGUCCGGAAUCACUGGGCGUAAAGGGCGCGUAGGCGGCCCGGUAAGUAGGGGGUGAAAUCUCAUGGCUCAACUGUGAGGCUGCCUUCUAGACUGCCAGGCUUGAGCACAGUAGAGGCGAGUGGAAUUCCAGGUGUAGCGGUGAAAUGCGUAGAUAUCUGGAGGAACACCGGUGGCGAAGGCGACAUCCUGGACCAAUUCUGACGCUGAGGAGCGAAAGCCAGGGGAGCAAACGGGAUUAGAUACCCAGGUAGUCCCUGAGCGGGCUGGCAAGGCGCAU